rnacentral:rRNA from 1 species
GUGAGGAAUAUUGCACAAUGGAGGAAACUCUGAUGCAGCGACGCCGCGUGAGCGAUGAAGGUUUUCGGAUCGUAAAGCUCUGUCCUAAGGGAAGAUAAUGACGGUACCUUAGGAGGAAGCCCCGGCUAACUACGUGCCAGCAGCCGCGGUAAUACGUAGGGGACGAGCGUUGUCCGGAAUUAUUGGGCGUAAAGGGUGCGUAGGCGGCCUUGUAAGUCAGAUGUGAAAGAUCACGGCUUAACUGUGGUAAGCAUUUGAAACUGCAGGGCUUGAGUACAGGAGAGGAGAGUGGAAUUCCUAGUGUAGCGGUGAAAUGCGUAGAUAUUAGGAGGAAUACCAAUGGCGAAGGCGACUCUCUGGACUGUAACUGACGCUGAGGCACGAAAGCGUGGGGAGCAAACAGGA